GCCUUUCUCUUUUCUUUUGGCAUGGCAAGUUUUUGGAGCUUGGCUUACUAGUCAUGAUCUCUAACUUGCGUUUAUUUGCCUAUAGUUUUAUUGACCGGCCUUAGAUAGGUGUGGCUACUAUAUUAGUCCACUUAUGAUUGCUUAAUAUAGCGCUAAAUUGUCUUAUGACAAACUAACAUAACCAUACUAACUACUAACUUUAAUUUGAGUAUUUAAUUUCUUACAAUUU
rnacentral:lncRNA from 1 species